GAAAAUCUCGGCAGUACAUAUUCUAAAAUUAGAAUGAUACAAAGAUUGGCAUGGCCCCAGCGCAAGGAUGACAUGCAAAUUCAUGAAGCUUUCCAUAUUUUU